UGAUGCUAUAUUCUAACACGUGCUACCAAAUCGAGGGGUAAAUUUUCAAAGAAACCCUAAUUUCAGUCUGAGAAGAAGAACGGAGAAGAUAGCAAAUAGUUUUUCUUUUCUCCCGAAAAUUGGUUUUCGCCCCUAAUUGGAGCAAAAGGAAGAUUCAAUUUCUUUUUGUUGGGAAAAAAUAAAUGACCAAUUUAAUUACAGCCCUCUUCUGUUUGCUCCUCACGUGCGGCCGCCUUCACUGCUUCUCUUGAUUUAGAAGAAAGCGGUGACUUUCUUCACAUCUUGCAGCUUCUUCUUGAAACAAGCACAUUGUUGAUUCAAUUCUCACAAAAUAUAUUUAAAGAAUGAUUAGCCAGCAUCGAGUCACUAACAAUCUUGUUAGCUAUGAAGUUGAAAGGCCUAGAGGCUCCACAUGUCCCAAAUAAAGCUGGUGCAUCAAUACCCAAGUUCUGGAACUCGAACUUGAUCAUCGGGUUUGUGAUCCCAACACUCCAGGAUCACUUGAUAUAGUUCUUGUUGAAAUGAACACAAAUUCAGUAGUAUGCAAAUAGUUAUACUCUUGUAUUGGAGUAUACAGGUGUAGGUAACAGUUCUUAUGCUUUAACUGGAAAUUAUUGUCCUCUGCAUCAGCUUCUUGUUUUUCCCUUACCCGAGUUUUUCGAUGUUAAUUCCUGUAAGUAGUUGGUAUGAUGCAACAUAUUUAUUUGCUGACUUUGUUUGUAGUGACUGAACCUGCCUAUAAACUUGUUAAUCUUUCCUAGCAUGUAUACAAUAUAAAUGAUGAUUCAUUGUCAAUUUUCAUUCUAAUGUAAACUUUUGAGGGAUAUGGCAGUGGGAUGAUACAUCACCUACCUAAGUUCCCACAUUCGGCCAGGUUCACUGAUGUUUCCAGAAAGCAUUAGGACUUUUGAGGAGAAGUUGCACAUACUUGAUACGGGAAGGAUAUUAUCGUGUUGGGGAUUCUGCUGGAAGUUGUUAUGUUCAGUUGUCGCAUUGCUGGAAUUACCCAUCCUUUGAUUCUCCAAGCAAGUUUCUUCUCAUCUUAAGUUUCAUGAUUCAGUGUUUGAUUCCUCUUUCCAAAAGAUAUUGUAGCAACAAAGGGGGCCAAAAGAUUGAAACUCUCCAUUGCAGGAAUUUUUUCCAAGGGCCGAUAAUUUCCCUGUUCUGUUAGCAUUCUUCUCCUUUAAAGUCUCCUCGGAAAUUACUGCUUGGCC